AGGAGACUUCCCCCAAGACCAGUUCUGAUAACACCAGUGUUUAGUCCUGAGUGCAUGGAAAUGGCUGAUUUGUAUAGCUUGUUUAAUAAUUAUGUUUUAAUCCAAUCAUGGUCUUAUUCACUAAACAUUAAAUUGUGGAGAAUUACAAAAAAAAAUAAAAAAAAAAUUUUAGGCAAAAGAAAAUUAAUGCAGAUUUUAAUAAAAUCUCCAGCUUAAUUGCACCCAGAGAGUGGCUAUUCUGCAUUAUAUUCUGCCAUUGAUUUUGUUUUUUAAUGUCACUAUAAUUCACUGUUUAGUAAAUAAGCCCCUCAUAAUGCUCAGCUCUCCCAGCCUGUCCUCCCCUCCCAGCCAUUGCUGCGCUACUGCGCAUGGGGCGCUGCGAGCCACACUGUGCAUGUCCGAGUGACGCAUUGCAGGUACCCAGCAACCAAUCAGAGGCCGGCUAGGACGACUCACACUACAACGCGUCGAAUUCCCGUGCACAUGCCCCCUAGCGAAAUAGUCCCCAGCUCCGCACCGCCAGACGUUGCCCAGCGCUCGGUUAAAGAGUCCCGCAGCCUGUACCGGUCACGCCGCUCGACACGAUGCGCGCCCGGGGUUUCCGAUGACAGAGAUAGCGGUAUUUUCUCCGGUGUUGCUAGGAGUGAGCGGAUGGAGGGAAGCCUCACCAUCCCUGUGUG